ACCACAGGGAUUGCCCUAGUAACGGCGAGUGAAGCGGCAACAGCUCAAAUUUGAAAUCUGGCUCUUUCAGAGUCCGAGUUGUAAUUUGCAGAGGGCGCUUUGGCUUUGGCAGCGGUCCAAGUUCCUUGGAACAGGACGUCACAGAGGGUGAGAAUCCCGUACGUGGUCGCUAGCUAUUGCCGUGUAAAGCCCCUUCGACGAGUCGAGUUGUUUGGGAAUGCAGCUCUAAAUGGGAGGUAAAUUUCUUCUAAAGCUAAAUAUUGGCCAGAGACCGAUAGCGCACAAGUAGAGUGAUCGAAAGAUGAAAAGCACUUUGGAAAGAGAGUCAAACAGCACGUGAAAUUGUUGAAAGGGAAGCGCUUGCAGCCAGACUUGCUUGCAGUUGCUCAUCCGGGCUUUUGCCCGGUGCACUCUUCUGCAGGCAGGCCAGCAUCAGUUUGGGCGGUGGGAUAAAGGUCUCUGUCAUGUACCUCUCUUCGGGGAGGCCUUAUAGGGGAGGCGACAUACCACCAGCCUAGACUGAGGUCCGCGCAUCUGCUAGGAUGCUGGCGUAAUGGCUGUAAGCGGCCCGUCUUGAAACACGGACCAAGGAGUCUAACAUCUAUGCGAGUGUUUGGGUGUCAAGCCCGAGCGCGUAAUGAAAGUGAACGGAGGUGGGAACCCGCAAGGGUGCACCAUCGACCGAUCCUGAAGUUUACGGAAGGAUUUGAGUAAGAGCAUGGCUGUUGGGACCCGAAAGAUGGUGAACUAUGCUUGAAUAGGGUGAAGCCAGAGGAAACUCUGGUGGAGGCUCGCAGCGGUUCUGACGUGCAAAUCGAUCGUCAAAUUUGGGCAUAGGGGCGAAAGACUAAUCGAACUAUCUAGUAGCUGGUUCCUGCGA
rnacentral:rRNA from 1 species